rnacentral:rRNA from 1 species
UACGUAGGGUGCGAGCGUUAAUCGGAAUUACUGGGCGUAAAGCGUGCGCAGGCGGUUCGUUGUGUCGGCGGUGAAAGCCCCGGGCUUAACCUGGGAAUGGCCGUUGAAACUGGCGAACUGGAGUGUGGCAGAGGGGGGUGGAAUUCCGCGUGUAGCAGUGAAAUGCGUAGGAGAUGCGGAGGACACCGAUGGCGAAGGCAGCCCCCUGGGCUAACACUGACGCUCAGGCACGAAAGCGUGGGGAGCAAACAGG